rnacentral:piRNA from 1 species
UUGAAGCCAGGAGGAUCAGAAGGG